rnacentral:rRNA from 1 species
GAUGAACGCUGGCGGCGUGCCUAAUACAUGCAAGUCGAGCGAACAGAUGAGAAGCUUGCUUCUCUGAUGUUAGCGGCGGACGGGUGAGUAACACGUGGGUAACCUACCUAUAAGACUGGGAUAACUCCGGGAAACCGGGGCUAAUACCGGAUAAUAUUUUGAACCGCAUGGUUCAAUAGUGAAAGACGGUUUCGGCUGUCACUUAUAGAUGGACCCGCGCCGUAUUAGCUAGUUGGUAAGGUAACGGCUUACCAAGGCGACGAUACGUAGCCGACCUGAGAGGGUGAUCGGCCACACUGGAACUGAGACACGGUCCAGACUCCUACGGGAGGCAGCAGUAGGGAAUCUUCCGCAAUGGGCGAAAGCCUGACGGAGCAACGCCGCGUGAGUGAUGAAGGUCUUCGGAUCGUAAAACUCUGUUGUUAGGGAAGAACAAAUUUGUUAGUAACUGAACAAGUCUUGACGGUACCUAACCAGAAAGCCACGGCUAACUACGUGCCAGCAGCCGCGGUAAUACGUAGGUGGCAAGCGUUAUCCGGAAUUAUUGGGCGUAAAGCGCGCGUAGGCGGUUUCUUAAGUCUGAUGUGAAAGCCCACGGCUCAACCGUGGAGGGUCAUUGGAAACUGGGAAACUUGAGUGCAGAAGAGGAGAGUGGAAUUCCAUGUGUAGCGGUGAAAUGCGCAGAGAUAUGGAGGAACACCAGUGGCGAAGGCGGCUCUCUGGUCUGUAACUGACGCUGAUGUGCGAAAGCGUGGGGAUCAAACAGGAUUGGAUACCCUGGUAGUCCACGCCGUAAACGAUGAGUGCUAAGUGUUAGGGGGUUUCCGCCCCUUAGUGCUGCAGCUAACGCAUUAAGCACUCCGCCUGGGGAGUACGACCGCAAGGUUGAAACUCAAAGGAAUUGACGGGGACCCGCACAAGCGGUGGAGCAUGUGGUUUAAUUCGAAGCAACGCGAAGAACCUUACCAAAUCUUGACAUCCUUUGACCGCUCUAGAGAUAGAGUCUUCCCCUUCGGGGGACAAAGUGACAGGUGGUGCAUGGUUGUCGUCAGCUCGUGUCGUGAGAUGUUGGGUUAAGUCCCGCAACGAGCGCAACCCUUAAGCUUAGUUGCCAUCAUUAAGUUGGGCACUCUAGGUUGACUGCCGGUGACAAACCGGAGGAAGGUGGGGAUGACGUCAAAUCAUCAUGCCCCUUAUGAUUUGGGCUACACACGUGCUACAAUGGAUAAUACAAAGGGCAGCGAAUCCGCGAGGCCAAGCAAAUCCCAUAAAAUUAUUCUCAGUUCGGAUUGUAGUCUGCAACUCGACUACAUGAAGCUGGAAUCGCUAGUAAUCGUAGAUCAGCAUGCUACGGUGAAUACGUUCCCGGGUCU